AAGAAGGUUGUUCUCCCUGCUCAGAACGAUUGAUUGUUUCUUAACUAGACUUGUCUGCUAUCUACCUGUAGUGGCCAGGGAAGCUAGGUCUCAUACAU
rnacentral:snoRNA from 14 species